rnacentral:rRNA from 1 species
GCGAUGAAGGGCGUGCUAAUCUGCGAUAAGCUCCGGUAAAGUGAUAUGAACCGUUAUAACCGGCGUGACCCGAAUGGCGAAACUCAGUAUGACUCGGCACACUAUCAUUAACUGUAUCCAUCGGAUAAUGUGGCGAACCGGGGGAACUGAAACAUCUAAGUACCCCGAGGAAAAGAAAUCAACCGAGAUUCCCCCAGUAGCGGCGAGCGAACGGGGAGGAGCCCAGAGCCUGAAUCAGCAUGUGUGUUAGUGGAAGCGUCUGGAAAGGCGCGCGAUACAGGGUGACAGCCCCGUACACAAAAGCGCAUGUGCUGUGAGCUCGAUGAGUAGGGCGGGACACGUGGUAUCCUGUCUGAAUAUGGGGGGACCAUCCUCCAAGGCUAAAUACUCCUGACUGACCGAUAGUGAACCAGUACCGUGAGGGAAAGGCGAAAAGAACCCCGGCGAGGGGAGUGAAAAAGAACCUGAAACCGUGUACGUACAAGCAGUGGGAGCCCCACCACUAAGCCAGUGGUGAACUCCACAUACGCAUCCUUUGCUGAGGAUACGGUUAACGGAGCGCAAGCGACGUUCAACCGCAAAAGAAGCAGAGGGGGCUUAGUGGUGGGGUGACUGCGUACCUUUUGUAUAAUGGGUCAGCGACUUAUAUUCUGUAGCAAGGUUAACCGUAUAGGGGAGCCGGAGGGAAACCGAGUCUUAAUUGGGCGUUAAGUUGCAGGGUAUAGACCCGAAACCCGGUGAUCUAGCCAUGGGCAGGUUGAAGGUUGGGUAACACUAACUGGAGGACCGAACCGACUAAUGUUGAAAAAUUAGCGGAUGACCUGUGGCUGGGGGUGAAAGGCCAAUCAAACCGGGAGAUAGCUGGUUCUCCCCGAAAGCUAUUUAGGUAGCGCCUCGUGAAUUCAUCUCCGGGGGUAGAGC